rnacentral:rRNA from 11 species
GGUAGCCUAAAUAUCUUAAAAGCCUUAGAUCCUGUGUGAUCUUGUAAGCUAAGCAGGACCAGCUCUGGUUAGUAUGUGGAUGGGAGAUUGCCAAUGAAUAUCAGAUGCUUAGAUUC